rnacentral:rRNA from 1 species
UACGUAGGGGGCAAGCGUUGUCCGGAUUUAUUGGGCGUAAAGAGCGUGUAGGCGGCCACACAGGUCUGCUGUGAAAACUCAAGGCUUAACCUCGAGCUGUCGGCGGAAACCAUCUGGCUAGAGUCCGGAAGAGGAGAGUGGAAUUCCUGGUGUAGCGGUGAAAUGCGCAGAUAUCAGGAAGAACACCCGUGGCGAAGGCGGCUCUCUGGGACGGUACUGACGCUGAGACGCGAAAGCGUGGGGAGCGAACAGG